GAGACAGUUUUGCUCUUGUCACCCAGGCUGGAGUACAGUGUCACAAUCUCAGCUCACUGCAACCUCUGCCUCCUGGGUUCAAGCGAUUCUCCUACUUUAGCCUCCCAAGUAGCUGGGUGACCUCAAGUGAUCCGCCUGCCUCAGCCUCCCAGAGUGUUGGGAUGACAAGCGUGAGCCACCACGCUCAGCCCAUUGCUUCUUUAACUGAACCGAACACCAAGGCUGUGUCCUAGCAAAGGAGACUUUCCUGUAGGAAUCACAUAUCUUUCAGUCAAGUAAGCUUCCUGGGGAAAUGCCCUCCAUAACCAGUCCUCCAUCUGGUGACCACAAUAUAAAUCUUCUCUUAUUCUAGGCCAGGAAAGAAGACUUGUGGGUUCUUCACACUGGCCCCUGCCAGCCUGCCCUUCUGAAGUAAUGUGGAGCCUUGGAUAAGUGACAGCAAGACAGUUGAGCAAGAAGGGGGAGGAAUUACAUUCACUCUGCGGGGCUCAGAUCACACCAGCAAGACAUAGGUCAGUCCUAGAUCAACCUGAGCUCCAAGAGAAGAUGGAAUUUCAGAAAGAAAUAUCAGAGAGGGCCGGGUGCAGUGGCUCACGCCUGUAAUCCUAGCACUUUAGGAGGCCGAGGUGGGCAGAUUGCUUGGGGCCAGGAAUUCGAGACCAGCCCAGGCAACAUAGCGAGAUCCCUGCCUCUACAAAAAAUACAAAAAAUACAAAAAAAAAAAAAAAAAUUAGCCAGGUGUGGUAUCACACACCUGUAGUCCCAGCUACGUGGGAGGAUCACCUGAGCCUGGAAGGUCAAGGCUGCAGUGAGCUGUGAUCAUGCCACUGUACCCCAGCCUGGGUGACAGAGUGAGACCCUGUGAAAGAAAAGCAAAAAAGAAAAGAGGCUGGGCGCAGUGGCUCACGCCUGUAAUCCCAGGGAAUUUCUUUAUGCAGACUCCCGAGCCCUCUCCCAGGGCCUGCCACUCACCCUCAAUGACAUAGAUCUUCUUCUGCAGCUCAGUGAAUAGAUCUUUCAGCUUCUCAAAUGUGUCCAGAAUUUUCACAAACUCGCUCGCGGGUUUUGAUGCAAAUUUGUGGAGGGUCUCCUGACUCUCCUUGGUCUGAAAAUGCUUUCCAAUCUGUGAGGGAGUGGAGAGUGAAGAGCUGAAAUCCCCCAAACCUCAGUCCAGUUUGCUAUUAUUUUCACAAGAGUCUGGCCCCAGGGAGAAAGGGGCUUGGGGUUCAGAAAGAGGAGAGGGAAGAUAUGAUGCAGGAAGCAGCAGGGGCCCUACCCCGAUGAUGUAGCGGAUGAUGUCUUUGGCCGCAUCGAUGUUGCCACUGUCAGUGGCCUCCCCAUCCGUGAUGAUGAUAAGCACUUUGGUGGCAUCUGGCCGGGCCCCCAGCUCCUCCCGGAACACCUCUGUCC
rnacentral:lncRNA from 1 species